rnacentral:ncRNA from 2 species
UUCUUAUCAAGAGCGGUGGAGGGACUGGCCCUGUGAAACCCGGCAACCUGUAUUAAUAUGCAAGGUGCUAAAUCCAGCGGUUAUUCGACCGGAAGAUGAGAA